rnacentral:misc_RNA from 1 species
UGGCUUUGUAUGAUAAGAGAACUAGGCUCACAAAAUUUUCCUUCUUAAUCUUGAAACAAUGAUAUUGUAAAAAAUUUUGAGAACACAAUUGUCCUAAAACAUUGGAGCAAUUAUCCCAAACUAGACCUAGUCAUCUCAUAUGCCAAGAAGCAAGCUGCAUUUGCUGGGAUGCUACGCGUUAUAGCAGGUCCAAACCCCUUGUAAAGGCCUUUGACACCUUCUGAGGCCAAAAUCUUUUUAAGAGCAUCAAAAGAGCCAGAGUAUUUCGCGUUUCUAUAAUCAUCAACUUGAAUUACGCUCUUAAUAACAUCUGUCGGAUACACUGCAAACCAGACUGAACCACCAGCCAAGCCUCCAGCUACUAUAAGAGAACCCCUUCCUAGCCCAGAAGUAUCCAUCCCUCCUGCAAAGUACUGCUUUAACGCUUCAUAUACACCAAACAUAACAGCAUUUCCCGGUACUUCUCGUGCCAGGGUGGGGCACAUACCCUUGAAGAGACCCCUUACACCUCCUUCUGAACGGAGAACGUGUCUUGCAACAUCCAUUGGCCCUGUAUACUUUAUGGCCGCAGAGGCUGAUCCUACACUUGCCAAUGCGCUGUGCGCUUGCAACCUGCAUUUUAUGAGUUCAGUCGGGCAGGCAAGAAAUGAUGCAGCAGUUCCAGCAACAGCCCCACAAAGGAUUUGUUGCUUGACAGUAAGAGGAGCUCCCGGUUCAGACCUUAACAGGGCCUCAGUUUGACCUCUAACAGUGAAAAGCAAAGCGUUGAAGGCGGCUACAGUGGCAAGUGGAGCUCCCAUGCCUUUGUAUAACCCCCUUGGACCUUCAGAGGCCACUGUUUUCCUGACAGCAUCUAUGGCCCCUGCAUACUUAGGAGGUUGCCCUGGAAGUGGAGUAGGCUGGCUUUGGAGCUUGACUUUGAUGGUAUCAAAAGGGUGCCCAACUAUCAAUUGUGCUGCUCCUCCAACAGUACCAGCGGUUAAAUCCUUCACUAUAUCCAUCUGUAAGAAGAUGGAAAUGGGAGAGAUUGAAGCAGAUCUCAA